rnacentral:rRNA from 2 species
UAGGGAAUAUUCCACAAUGAGCGAAAGCUUGAUGGAGCGACACAGCGUGCACGAUGAAGGUCUUCGGAUUGUAAAGUGCUGUUAUAAGGGAAGAACAUUUGCAAUAGGAAAUGAUUGCAGACUGACGGUACCUUGUCAGAAAGCGAUGGCUAACUAUGUGCCAGCAGCCGCGGUAAUACAUAGGUCGCAAGCGUUAUCCGGAAUUAUUGGGCGUAAAGCGUUCGUAGGCUGUUUGUUAAGUCUGGAGUUAAAUCCCGGGGCUCAACCCCGGCUCGCUUUGGAUACUAGCAAACUAGAGUUAGAUAGAGGUAAGCGGAAUUCCAUGUGAAGCGGUGAAAUGCGUAGAUAUAUGGAAGAACACCAAAGGCGAAGGCAGCUUACUGGGUCUAUACUGACGCUGAGGGACGAAAGCGUGGGGAGCAAACAGG